AGUGAACGCUGGCGGUAGGCCUAACACAUGCAAGUCGAACGGCAGCACAGUAAGAGCUUGCUCUUACGGGUGGCGAGUGGCGGACGGGUGAGGAAGACAUCGGAAUCUACUUUUUCGUGGGGGAUAACGUAGGGAAACUUACGCUAAUACCGCAUACGACCUACGGGUGAAAGCAGGGGAUCUUCGGACCUUGCGCGAUUGUAUGAGCCGAUGUCGGAUUAGCUAGUUGGCGGGGCAAAGGCCCACCAAGGCGACGAUCCGUAGCUGGUCUGAGAGGAUGAUCAGCCACACUGGAACUGAGACACGGUCCAGACUCCUACGGGAGGCAGCAGUGGGGAAUAUUGGACGAUGGGCGCAAGCCUGAUCCAGCCAUACCGCGUGGGUGAAGAAGGCCUUCGGGUUGUAAAGCCCUUUUGUUGGGAAAGAAAAGCAGCAGGUUAAUACCCCGCUGUUCUGACGGUACCCAAAGAAUAAGCACCGGCUAACUUCGUG
rnacentral:rRNA from 1 species